rnacentral:rRNA from 1 species
AGCGAACGCUGGCGGCAGGCCUAACACAUGCCAGUCGAACGAACCUAUCGGGGUUUGUGGCGGACGGGUGAGGAACACGUGGGAAGGUGCCCUUAGGGUCGGAAUAACUCAGGGAAACUUGUGCUAAUACCGAAUGUGCCCUACGGGGGAAAGAUUUAUAGCCCUUAGAGCGGCCCGAGUCUGAUUAGCUAGUUGGUUGAGGUAAUGGCUGAUCAGGGCGACGAUCAGUAGCUGGUCUGUGAGGAUGAUCAGCGACAUUGGGACUGAGACACAGCCCAAACUCCUACGGGAGGCGGCAAUGGGGGAUCUUGCGCAAUGGGGUAAAGGCUGACGCAGCCAGGCCGGGUGAAUGAUGAAGGUCUUAAGAUAGUAAUAUUCUUUCACCGGGGCCGGUAAUGACGGUACCCGAAGAAGAAGCCCCGGCUAACUACGUG